ACUGUCAAAAAAACAACAACAGAAAAUUUGAAUAUAAAUGAAUUAUUUCGUAAUUUUGUUGGCUUAUUUCCAUUUAGAACUAUGAAUAGGCAUGGAUUUGAUUCGAAAGUCAAGAAAACUCUUAACAGAAACUGUGAACAGAAGACCAAAACCCCAGCUCUCAAGGAAACAUCAGUAUUUGAUAUAGGCUGUUCCAACUUGCCAACUGCCGAUCGAAGUUCACGGUCUUCUCAAAAAGAAAAUCAAUUGAAUCAGCCUUCCCUGUGCUCUAGCGAAGCGUUGGCUCACUAUUUAACUGAUGUGAAGAAGUCCUUACCAUCUCCUACGCCUCUUGAAGAUAUUGAUAAAUGUCAGUAUAGCUCAAAGAUGACGAAAAAAUUAAAUUUCCACUUCAAUGAUAGAAUCUACAAAAACUUAAUAGAACUUAAUGCAAAUGUUGAAGAUUUGAAGACAAAGAGGGACAAGAGAGUCCAUAGUGCAAGUUCCAGUAAACGGGAUAUGGAGCCCAAUAUAGAAGAUUUUUACCAGGACGAAAUUGAAAGUGACGUUAUGCCAGUGAUACCUGUAAUAAAACCAAAAUUCAAGCCAGUGAAGAAAGUUGAAAAUGGACAGUUACAUAGACUUAUCGCUUCCUUUGAAGAUUUAUGACCCAAAAUAAAAACAUGUCAUGAA